rnacentral:lncRNA from 1 species
AUGCUCUUGGUCUCUCCUACCGUGGACUUCAGGUGGUUGAGGAAAGGCUUGCAACUCAUCCUCAACACUUGGCAUUGCCUUCCCCUCAAGGGAACGCUGGCAUCCUGCUCCCAUCAGAGCCUCGACAAUCGCACAGUCUACACACACUUGGACAUCAGCAUCACAAAUGAUCAUGUAAGUAAGCAGAGAAAAAAGCUGCAGACUGUAGAAGCUCAGAUGUAUUUAGGUGAUGAAAUCUUCCCCAUAGGCCUUGUGAGAAAGCAUUUCAUCUUGAGUAUCAAGAGCUGACUUGGGUGUGAACUUAACAUCAUUGAUACCAGUCUCUCUCAAUGAUGUUUGCUUGAAAGUACUUUUUAUCAGGUAAGUAACUUCUGGCUUUGAGUUUUUGAAUGUCUGAGAGGAAAACUCUGUCUCGCUUUCCAAAAUUAUCAAUUAGUACAGCUCCUUCUUCCUAGUUAGGUGUGCAAAAUGCCCAUUUUUGUUCCCAUAGACACAAUUUGUAAGCAUGAUACACUUCACUGUCUUCCAAUAGAACUAGAACUAAAUGUGGUCAAGAUAGGUAAAGGCAGGAACAAGAUAUGAGAGCAUCAUUUAC